UACGUAGGGGGCAAGCGUUGUCCGGAAUUAUUGGGCGUAAAGAGCGUGUAGGCGGCCAGGUAGGUCCGCUGUGAAAACUUGAGGCUCAACCUCGAGAUGUCGGCGGAAACCCCCUGGCUAGAGUCCGGAAGAGGAGAGUGGAAUUCCCGGUGUAGCGGUGAAAUGCGCAGAUAUCGGGAAGAACACCCGUGGCGAAGGCGGCUCUCUGGGACGGUACUGACGCUGAGACGCGAAAGCGUGGGGAGCGAACAGG
rnacentral:rRNA from 1 species